rnacentral:rRNA from 1 species
GUAUGCCUACGGGGGGCAGCAGUGGGGGAUAUCGCACAAUGGGGGGAACCCUGAUGCAGCGACGCCGCGUGGGUGAAGAAGCACCUCGGCGCGUAAAGCCCUGUCAGCAGGGAAGAAAAUGACGGUACCUGAAGAAGAAGCCCCGGCUAACUCCGUGCCAGCAGCCGCGGUAAUACGGAGGGUGCGAGCGUUAAUCGGAAUUACUGGGCGUAAAGCGCUCGUAGGCGGUAUGUCACGUCAAGGGUGAAAUCCCCGCG